rnacentral:tRNA from 1 species
UUUUUUAUAUUUUAUCAAAAAAAUAUUUUUUUUACAAAGAAAAGAAAAUUUUAUUUAAAAAAA